rnacentral:rRNA from 1 species
UACGGAGGGUGCAAGCGUUAAUCGGAAUUACUGGGCGUAAAGCGCGCGUAGGCGGUUAGGUAAGUCGAUUGUGAAAUCCCCGGGCUCAACCUGGGAAUUGCAGUCGAGACUGUCUGACUAGAGUGUAGGAGAGGGUGGUGGAAUUCCCGGUGUAGCGGUGAAAUGCGUAGAUAUCGGGAGGAACAUCAGUGGCGAAGGCGACCACCUGGCCUAACACUGACGCUGAGGUGCGAAAGCGUGGGUAGCAAACAGG